GAAAGUCUGGAAAAUGUAACUUGCUGCUUCUCCCCAGGAGAGAGGGAGAAAGCCUUCAUUCAAUCAAAUACUUACGAAGCUGUCAUCAGAUGCCCGGUAGCCUUUCUGUGCAACAUGCUAUGAAAAUACAAAUGGUUACGUUUAGGAGUCUUUAAAACUGUGACUGCAAUGCCUGUCAAACCGAAAAGGUUCACAAAAACAUUGCACAUCAUCACACGGAACACAUACCCACUGCCCAGUCACAACAUUAGGUACACCUCCACAAUCUAAUGAUGUCCGACAACAGAGUCAUCACAAAUUGCGCCUCUAAUAUGAUAAAAAUGCUAAAUUCUGAUUGACAGUGUCAGUGAUCGUAUUUCUUAACUUCACAGGUGUAUUUAUUUUUUUUAAAUUCUUUGUGGUAACCACAGAAAAGGUCAUGGAACUUACUGUGACGUGGGAAAGUGGUACACACAUCUUUCUUGGCUUUCCAUCCUUUCUUUCACACGCCGUCAAAGGUAAAGAUCGCCAGCCUCCCUCAGAAGGUUGCCCGCUGGUUUAACGCUCUCUAGAACAUGACAGCGCAACCUGCGGAGAGAAAGACCCCUCGAAUAAGACCAGCGGGAAGUUCAUGGAACCAACAGUAACAUACUGCAAGUACCUGUGCUCCAGGAUUUUGGGCUUUGGUACUUCUUUCCAGUACUGCGCAAGUUCUUGAGAUCCUACGUUGUCCAUCUCAGCCGCCAUCACCAGGAAGCGAUCCUGGGGGGACGCCUGAGAUCCUGGGUGAAAAUGAAACAUACCUUUGACAGCAUGUCGGUCUUAAAAGGGGGCCCUCUGUGGGCCAGUCAAACAAAACAACACAAGGGUUUGUUGAUGAUGUCUGGCAUCAUGGGAGUUGUCCUCACGUAAGCACAAGUCAUGCUCGCGGAACAUAAAUGUCAGCCACUUUAGAAGGGCAACCGAUGAGCUCAUCUGGAAAUAUUCAGUCAGCUCCAGUAAAGUUGGAACGGUACCUCCAUGCAGGGACACCACAAUAUCGAUGGAGGCGCCGGGUUCACAGGUGCUGCUGCUCGGCUUCACUCUGUACUUCUCGGGUGCUGUGGUCCGCACCUGUAGAGGAACAUCAGUGAAAACGAGAACUAUUUUGUGACCAGUGAAUGAAAUGAAAGCAGAUUACAGCAUUCCGACACUAUCUCAGAUCAUCAUAGUACCCCGUUUGCGCUAUAUCGCACAUUUUAUUAGUUCAACAAACAUUGUACUAAUCCUUCUGGUGUGUGUAACUUGGCCACCAGGGGGGCAGUAUAAUAGAUACGUACGUAUAAUACACGUUUGACGGGGGUACAUGAAGACUAAGCUGCACUAACAGGCGUUUUUCGCAGAGCAGAACUAAAUAUGCCUGUCAAUAUUGCUAUAUUCUGUCUUGUGUGUGUUGCUGCACUGUUUGCGUUCAAGCUUUACAAGUACCAUGAUGUUGAUGCCAGUUUUGUUAGCCAGUCUAUGACAUUUCACGUUGUGUUAGAAUGGAACUAGCAGACAUUGGUCAAACACAGUUAUGUGGUUUUGUAAAUACAAAAUCUGUAAUUCUCUUUGUUUAUAGUUUUACAGUAUACUUCAAAUGUGAGUGGCAAUAAACUACUUGAAGCAAGCACACAA